AAUACUUGACGCUCAGGUGCGAAAAGCGUGGGGAGCAAACAGUUAUUAGAUACCCUGGUAGUCCACGCCGUAAACGAUGUCUACUAGCUGUUCGUGGUCUUGUACUGUGAGUAGCGCAGCUAACGCACUAAGUAGACCGCCUGGGGAGUACGGUCGCAAGAUUAAAACUCAAAUGAAUUGACGGGGGCCCGCACAAGCGGUGGAGCAUGUGGUUUAAUUCGACGCAACGCGAAGAACCUUACCUACUCUUGACAUCUAGCGAAGAUUGCAGAGAUGCAGUUGUGCCUUCGGGAACGCUAAGACAGGUGCUGCAUGGCUGUCGUCAGCUCGUGUUGUGAAAUGUUGGGUUAAGUCCCGCAACGAGCGCAACCCUUAUCCUUAGUUGCCAGCACGUAAUGGUGGGAACUCUAGGGAGACUGCCGGUGAUAAACCGGAGGAAGGUGGGGACGACGUCAAGUCAUCAUGGCCCUUACGAGUAGGGCUACACACGUGCUACAAUGGUACGUACAGAGGGAGGCAAGCUGGCGACAGUGAGCGGAUCUCUUAAAGCGUAUCGUAGUCCGGAUCGCAGUCUGCAACUCGACUGCGUGAAGUCGGAAUCGCUAGUAAUCGCAAAUCAGAAUGUUGCGGUGAAAUACGUUCCCGGGGCCUUUGUACACACCGCCCGUCACCACCAUGGGAGUGGGUUGCCAAUAGAAGUAAGGUAGCCUUAACCUUUCGGGGAGGGGCGCUUACCACUUUUGUGAUUCAUGACUGGGGGUGAAGUCGUAACAGGG
rnacentral:rRNA from 2 species